rnacentral:rRNA from 1 species
UACGUAGGGCGCAAGCGUUGUCCGGAUUUAUUGGGCGUAAAGAGCUCGUAGGCGGUCUGUCGCGUCGGAUGUGAAAACCCGGAACUCAACUCCGGGCCUGCAUUCGAUACGGGCAGACUUGAGUACUGCAGGGGAGACUGGAAUUCCUGGUGUAGCGGUGGAAUGCGCAGAUAUCAGGAGGAACACCGGUGGCGAAGGCGGGUCUCUGGGCCGAUACUGACGCUGAGGAGCGAAAGCGUGGGGAGCGAACAGG